rnacentral:misc_RNA from 1 species
GAAAUGCGAUAAGUAAUGUGAAUUGCAGAAUUCCGUGAAUCAUCGAAUCUUUGAACGCACAUUGCGCCCUCUGGUAUUCCGGGGGGCAUGCCUGUCCGAGCGUCAUUGCGAACCCCUCAAGCACGGCUUGUGUGAUGGGCCCUCCCGCGUCUUGGUCGUCAAGACGGGCCCGAAAAGCAGUGGCGGCUUCGCGGUUAUCCGAUCAGCCAGAGCGUAUGGGGACUUUCUCUCUGUCACACGCCCGCGGCGCGGACCGACGCCUGUCGACCUUUUUUCAUCUUUUUCUCGGUUGACCUCGGAUCAGGUAGGGAUACCCGCUGAACUUAAGC